GACGAACGCUGGCGGCGUGCUUAACACAUGCAAGUCGAACGGUAAGGCCCUUCGGGGUACACGAGUGGCGAACGGGUGAGUAACACGUGGGUGAUCUGCCCUGCACUUCGGGAUAAGCCUGGGAAACUGGGUCUAAUACCGGAUAGGACCACUGCCUGCAUGGGUGGUGGUGGAAAGCUUUUGCGGUGUGGGAUGGGCCCGCGGCCUAUCAGCUUGUUGGUGGGUGAUGGCCUGGCAAGGCGACGACGGGUAGCCGGCCUGAGAGGGUGACCGGCCAAACUGGGACUGAGAUACGGCCCAGACUCCUACGGGAGGCAGCAGUGGGGAAUAUUGCACAAUGGGCGCAAGCCUGAUGCAGCGACGCCGCGUGAGGGAUGACGGCCUUCGGGUUGUAAACCUCUUUCAGCACCGACGAAGCGCAAGUGACGGUAGGUGCAGAAGAAGGACCGGCCAACUACGUGCCAGCAGCCGCCGUAA
rnacentral:rRNA from 1 species